UACGGGGGGAGCAAGCGUUGUUCGGAUUUACUGGGCGUAAAGGGCGCGUAGGCGGUCAGCACAAGUCAGUUGUGAAAUCUCCGGGCUUAACUCGGAAAGGUCAACUGAUACUGUGCGACUAGAGUGCGGAAGGGGCAACUGGAAUUCUCGGUGUAGCGGUGAAAUGCGUAGAUAUCGGGAGGAACACCAAUGGCGAAGGCAGCUCGCUGGGACGGUACUGACGCUGAGGCGCGAAAGCGUGGGGAGCAAACAGG
rnacentral:rRNA from 1 species